rnacentral:rRNA from 1 species
AACGAACUCUGGUAUUGAUUGGUGCUUGCAUCAUGAUUUACAUUUGAGUGAGUGGCGAACUGGUGAGUAACACGUGGGAAACCUGCCCAGAAGCGGGGGAUAACACCUGGAAACAGAUGCUAAUACCGCAUAACAACUUGGACCGCAUGGUCCGAGUUUGAAAGAUGGCUUCGGCUAUCACUUUUGGAUGGUCCCGCGGCGUAUUAGCUAGAUGGUGGGGUAAUGGCUCACCAUGGCAAUGAUACGUAGCCGACCUGAGAGGGUAAUCGGCCACAUUGGGACUGAGACACGGCCCAAACUCCUACGGGAGGCAGCAGUAGGGAAUCUUCCACAAUGGACGAAAGUCUGAUGGAGCAACGCCGCGUGAGUGAAGAAGGGUUUCGGCUCGUAAAACUCUGUUGUUAAAGAAGAACAUAUCUGAGAGUAACUGUUCAGGUAUUGACGGUAUUUAACCAGAAAGCCACGGCUAACUACGUGCCAGCAGCCGCGGUAAUACGUAGGUGGCAAGCGUUGUCCGGAUUUAUUGGGCGUAAAGCGAGCGCAGGCGGUUUUUUAAGUCUGAUGUGAAAGCCUUCGGCUCAACCGAAGAAGUGCAUCGGAAACUGGGAAACUUGAGUGCAGAAGAGGACAGUGGAACUCCAUGUGUAGCGGUGAAAUGCGUAGAUAUAUGGAAGAACACCAGUGGCGAAGGCGGCUGUCUGGUCUGUAACUGACGCUGAGGCUCGAAAGUAUGGGUAGCAAACAGGAUUAGAUACCCUGGUAGUCCAUACCGUAAACGAUGAAUGCUAAGUGUUGGAGGGUUUCCGCCCUUCAGUGCUGCAGCUAACGCAUUAAGCAUUCCGCCUGGGGAGUACGGCCGCAAGGCUGAAACUCAAAGGAAUUGACGGGGGCCCGCACAAGCGGUGGAGCAUGUGGUUUAAUUCGAAGCUACGCGAAGAACCUUACCAGGUCUUGACAUACUAUGCAAAUCUAAGAGAUUAGACGUUCCCUUCGGGGACAUGGAUACAGGUGGUGCAUGGUUGUCGUCAGCUCGUGUCGUGAGAUGUUGGGUUAAGUCCCGCAACGAGCGCAACCCUUAUUAUCAGUUGCCAGCAUUAAGUUGGGCACUCUGGUGAGACUGCCGGUGACAAACCGGAGGAAGGUGGGGAUGACGUCAAAUCAUCAUGCCCCUUAUGACCUGGGCUACACACGUGCUACAAUGGAUGGUACAACGAGUUGCGAACUCGCGAGAGUAAGCUAAUCUCUUAAAGCCAUUCUCAGUUCGGAUUGUAGGCUGCAACUCGCCUACAUGAAGUCGGAAUCGCUAGUAAUCGCGGAUCAGCAUGCCGCGGUGAAUACGUUCCCGGGCCUUGUACACACCGCCCGUCACACCAUGAGAGUUUGUAACACCCAAAGUCGGUGGGGUAACCUUUUAGGAACCAGCC